CGGGUUAGCCUUGUCUGCCUCGUCUCUAAUCACUAACAAAUCAACCUUAACAACAAUUUUUUCAACGACAGACCGAUAACUAAAACAAAAAAUGUCCAACUCCCAAUCCUCAACGCCAUCCACUGUCGGUGAAGCUAGUAAUAGUACUGCCUUCUCCAGCUAUCAGUUAUUAUCUAGUCAAUACUUCCCGGACGAAUAUGAGUCCAAAGUUCCCCCAGCCGAGACUAUUACCACUUCGUCGCCUUCCCAAAGUGGUUCAUAUAUCUCCACGAUCAGUAGUUACAUCACAAGCGCGUUUUCGUCCUCGAAACCUGAGAACAAGUGAAACUGGUCCAAAAAUUGAAAGGACGUAUUAAGAGAAACCGAGCAAGGGAGGGAUGAAGGGAAUAGGGUGUUGGUUAGAGCAUUAUCAGCAGUAAAAGAAAACUAUGAACACGAAUGUUGGCCG
rnacentral:sRNA from 1 species